UUCCCUCUCCAUUAUAUGAUUCUCCGCUCCAUGAUCUGUUUUUAUGAAGCGGCACAAAACCAAUAAAAAGGUUUGUGCAUCAAAAUCCAAUAUCUACUGUCCACUACAAUCAAAUGAUUUCUGCAAUAGCUACACUUCAAACAUCCUCCAUAUCCAUUAUGAUUCUCUGCUCCAUGAACUGUUUUUAUGAAGCUGCACAAAACUGAUAAAAAGGUAAAUUUAAUUAAUAUAAUAUCUGCAAAACUUGAAUUAACUCAUUUGUUGAAGAACUUUUUCACCUGUUAAUGUUUUCAGGUUUGUGCAUUAAAACUCUAUCUAUGGUCCACUACUCCCAAAAAAUUUCUGCAAUACACUACAUGUGAAACUUCCUCCUUAUCCUAUAUUUGAUUCUCCAUUCCAUGAACUGUUUUUAUGAAGCAGCACAAAACCAAUAAAAAGGUUUGUGCACCAAAACCCAAUAUCUACUGUCCACUACUCUCAAAAGAUUUCUGCAAUACGCUACAUGUGAAACUUCCUCCUUAUACUAUAUUUGAUUCUCUACGCCAUGAACCGUUUAUAUGAAGCAGCACAAAACCAAUAAAAAGGUUUGUGCAUCAAAACCCAAUAUCUACUGUCCACUACUAUCAAAAGAUUUCUGCAAUAUGCUACACUUCAAAGAUCCUUCUCCAUUAUAUGAUUCUCCGCUCCAUGAAUUGUUUUUAUGAAGCAGCACAAAACCAAUAAAAAGGUUUGUGCAUCAAAACCCAAAAUCUACUGUCCACUACUAUCAAAAGAUUUCUGCAAUAUGCUACACUUCAAAGAUCCUUCUCCAUUAUGAUUCUCCACUCCAUGAAUUGUUUUUAUGAAGCAGCA